CAUGAUUCCAGAGGGCACUGUGACCUAGCCAGCCACAGGGGGAAGAACCCCAGGUCCUGAGCGUGCUCUUUGAGGAGAAGGUUCUGACAGAGUAGGAAGUGGGCUGUGGGGUCACGUUGUUCCCACUUCACCACAGUGAAAGCCUGCCAGGAAACACAUCCCGGAAAUGAGAUCUACUCUAGAAAAUACAAGGAAGGUGAGACAGAUAGAAUCAAGGAACUAAAGGUAAACAGGCCAUGGGACGAAACCACUGAGAGUCAAGAAAAUGCCAUUUUGAAAGAACAUAAGGACAAAAGACUAAACUUUGAAGGUUAUUGAGAGGUACUGGGAAGGUAACAAACCAGGCAGACACCUGUCCUCCAUGAUCUCAUAUGGACGUGGGAGCUGAUCACUGCAUAUGUGUAGACACAAAGGGAACAAGGACUGCCGCGCCUACCUGAGGGCAGAAGAUGGAGCAUGAGGAUUAAAAACUACCCAUGGGGUAUUGUGCUUAUUCCUUAUUAGAGACAAAGUAAUCUGUACGUCAAACCCCCACAACACGCAAUUUACCCGUGUAAAAAACCUGCACUUGUACCCCUUGAGCCGAAAAUAAAAGUUGUAAAGAAAAAAAAAAAAAAAAAA
rnacentral:lncRNA from 1 species